CAAAAAGAAUAAGAGCAGGAAUCCAAUCUGCUAGUAUAAUGCAGUAAUGAAGAUCAUGUGCAUUGAUGCCGGGCAGCCUUGGUGUCAAUUCUUGCUCUGCUGCUUACUACAUAUGGGAUCUUGAACCAGUCACUUAGCUUCCUGUUCCUCAUUUCCAAUCUCAUAGGGCUAUGGUGAAGAUUAUAGAAGAGAGUGCUUUGAACUAUGCCUGGCACGAGCCCCAGAUGGGAUGGACCAUCUAACUGCAGGAAAACAAGCUGAGGGCUCCCACUGAUUCCACAUUAUGUGCCUCCUCUUGCCCAUGGAAGGAAUCCAGCUUCUUGGUUCUUCACUGCCCAACCCAGUUUAGUGGCUGGCCAUUCCACAGAGAGGAUCCUCCACACUACCUGAGCCCUGAUGUCUCUGGCUCCAAAGGAUGCAGCUCUGCUCAUCCCCCCUGAGGCCCGUCAUGAGUUGCUGUGGCUGUGGAAGCCUGCUGUCCUGGGAUGGAGACUCUUCCCACUGCCCUGUCCCUUCAGUUUCAGCAGAAGCAUGAUCCUGCUCCAUGUGGAUCCCUGAAGCAGCAGAUCUGGAACUCCGCUGAUGCUGGAGCCUUCAGGGACCACGAGAAACCCAUCUCAAUGAUGAAUCCUGGGCUUUUUUUCCCCCUUGGGACAGUCCUGGUUUCAAACAUUUACCUCGGAAAGAGCACUCAACAGCUGCCACGUGGCUGCCCUGAGGUUUGGGCUGAAACAACAUGACCAUUAUACCUA